UACGUAGGUGGCAAGCGUUGUCCGGAAUUAUUGGGCGUAAAGCGCGCGCAGGCGGUCCUUUAAGUCUGAUGUGAAAGCCCACGGCUCAACCGUGGAGGGUCAUUGGAAACUGGGGGACUUGAGUGCAGAAGGGGAAAGCGGAAUUCCACGUGUAGCGGUGAAAUGCGUAGAGAUGUGGAGGAACACCAGUGGCGAAGGCGCUUUCUGGUCUGUAACUGACGCUGAGGCGCGAAAGCGUGGGGAGCAAACAGG
rnacentral:rRNA from 1 species